ACUUUAACCACGCUUAAUUUCCAGCAUUUACUGUCUGGAAAGCGGGGGAACCAGUCAAUUGGGGCGAAUCAUUGAGCUAUGCAAUGUAGGGUACCAUCUUACCCGAGUCCGUCAGCUAACCUCGUCAGUAGUGGAUGGGUCUG
rnacentral:sRNA from 2 species